rnacentral:rRNA from 1 species
AUGAACGCUAGCUACAGGCUUAACACAUGCAAGUCGAGGGGCAGCAUGGUCUUAGCUUGCUAAGGCCGAUGGCGACCGGCGCGCGGGUGAGUAACACGUAUCCAACCUGCCGUCUACUCUUGGACAGCCUUCUGAAAGGAAGAUUAAUACAAGAUGGCAUCAUGAGUCCGCAUGUUCACAUGAUUAAAGGUAUUCCGGUAGACGAUGGGGAUGCGUUCCAUUAGAUAGUAGGCGGGGUAACGGCCCACCUAGUCUUCGAUGGAUAGGGGUUCUGAGAGGAAGGUCCCCCACAUUGGAACUGAGACACGGUCCAAACUCCUACGGGAGGCAGCAGUGAGGAAUAUUGGUCAAUGGGCGAGAGCCUGAACCAGCCAAGUAGCGUGAAGGAUGACUGCCCUAUGGGUUGUAAACUUCUUUUAUAAAGGAAUAAAGUCGGGUAUGGAUACCCGUUUGCAUGUACUUUAUGAAUAAGGAUCGGCUAACUCCGUGCCAGCAGCCGCGGUAAUACGGAGGAUCCGAGCGUUAUCCGGAUUUAUUGGGUUUAAAGGGAGCGUAGAUGGAUGUUUAAGUCAGUUGUGAAAGUUUGCGACUCAACCGUAAAAUUGCAGUUGAUACUGGAUAUCUUGAGUGCAGUUGAGGCAGGCGGAAUUCGUGGUGUAGCGGUGAAAUGCUUAGAUAUCACGAAGAACUCCGAUUGCGAAGGCAGCCUGCUAAGCUGCAACUGACAUUGAGGCUCGAAAGUGUGGGUAUCAAACAGGAUUAGAUACCCUGGUAGUCCACACGGUAAACGAUGAAUACUCGCUGUUUGCGAUAUACUGCAAGCGGCCAAGCGAAAGCGUUAAGUAUUCCACCUGGGGAGUACGCCGGCAACGGUGAAACUCAAAGGAAUUGACGGGGGCCCGCACAAGCGGAGGAACAUGUGGUUUAAUUCGAUGAUACGCGAGGAACCUUACCCGGGCUUAAAUUGCAGAUGAAUUACGGUGAAAGCCGUAAGCCGCAAGGCAUCUGUGAAGGUGCUGCAUGGUUGUCGUCAGCUCGUGCCGUGAGGUGUCGGCUUAAGUGCCAUAACGAGCGCAACCCUUGUUGUCAGUUACUAACAGGUUCCGCUGAGGACUCUGACAAGACUGCCAUCGUAAGAUGUGAGGAAGGUGGGGAUGACGUCAAAUCAGCACGGCCCUUACGUCCGGGGCUACACACGUGUUACAAUGGGGGGUACAGAGGGCCGCUACCACGCGAGUGGAUGCCAAUCCCCAAAACCUCUCUCAGUUCGGACUGGAGUCUGCAACCCGACUCCACGAAGCUGGAUUCGCUAGUAAUCGCGCAUCAGCCACGGCGCGGUGAAUACGUUCCCGGGCCUUGUACACACCGCCCGUCAAGCCAUGGGAGCCGGGGGUACCUGAAGUGCGUAACCGCGAGGAGCGCCCUAGGGUAAAACUGGUGACUGGGGCUAAGUC